AACGAACGCUGGCGGCAGGCCUAACACAUGCAAGUCGAGCGAGGACUUCGGUCCUAGCGGCGGACGGGUGAGUAACGCGUGGGAACGUGCCCUUUGCUACGGAAUAGCCCCGGGAAACUGGGAGUAAUACCGUAUGUGGUCGAGAGACGAAAGAUUUAUCGCCAAAGGAUCGGCCCGCGUUGGAUUAGGUAGUUGGUGGGGUAAUGGCCUACCAAGCCGACGAUCCAUAGCUGGUUUGAGAGGAUGAUCAGCCACACUGGGACUGAGACACGGCCCAGACUCCUACGGGAGGCAGCAGUGGGGAAUCUUAGACAAUGGGGGAAACCCUGAUCUAGCCAUGCCGCGUGAUCGAUGAAGGCCUUAGGGUUGUAAAGAUCUUUCAGUGGGGAAGAUAAUGACUGUACCCACAGAAGAAGCCCCGGCUAACUCCGUGCCAGCAGCCGCAGUAAUAC
rnacentral:rRNA from 1 species